rnacentral:rRNA from 1 species
UACGUAGGGUCCAAGCGUUGUCCGGAAUUAUUGGGCGUAAAGAGCUCGUAGGCGGUCUGUUGCGUCGGUUGUGAAAACCCGGGGCUCAACUCCGGGCCUGCAAUCGAUACGGGGCAGACUAGAGUUCGGUAGGGGGAGACUGGAAUUCCUGGUGUAGCGGUGAAAUGCGCAGAUAUCAGGAGGAACACCGGUGGCGAAGGCGGGUCUCUGGGCCGAAACUGACGCUGAGGAGCGAAAGCGUGGGGAGCGAACAGG